UACGUAGGGGGCAAGCGUUGUCCGGAAUCAUUGGGCGUAAAGAGCGUGUAGGCGGCCAGAAAAGUCCGCUGUGAAAACUCGAGGCUCAACCUCGAGCUGUCGGUGGAAACUUUCUGGCUAGAGUCCGGAAGAGGAGAAUGGAAUUCCUGGUGUAGCGGUGAAAUGCGCAGAUAUCAGGAAGAACACCCGUGGCGAAGGCGGUUCUCUGGGACGGUACUGACGCUGAGACGCGAAAGCGUGGGGAGCGAACAGG
rnacentral:rRNA from 1 species